AACCCGAUUCUUCAAUAUUCUUGCGUUGAUCGGUGACUGGAUCAUCGUCUGAUCCUAAAGCUUCACACUUCAAAAUUCGAGUUCGAGGUUGUUAGAAUAUAUGUAUUAUAAAGGUAGAAUGGGUUCUUUAAAUCUGAAGGGACCGGUUGUGAUCCCCACUGUUCGUGCCAAAGUAGCAGGGCUCUGCAGUGUUCCUUUAAUUGGAUCAAUGAAGGCUAAAUGUAUUCGAACUUAAUUUUGGGGACUUAGGUGUAGCAGAGAUAAGGCCACUGUUCUUUCUUUCCAUAUAAACAUGCGAAAGUGCAAGAGCAAGACUGUGCAUUGCAGUUUCAACUCACCUUCAAAUGGGAGCGGAAGUACGACUGAGAAUUUUGAUGAAAAGGAUGAAGAUUAUGUUAACUCUAGCGUGGUUGAAGCUGUUGAGGUGAGGAAU